ACUAUGAUCCAUGCGGAUCCUCUAUGCGCGUAUCGUUCGGACGAGCCGAACCGCUAGCGC
rnacentral:ncRNA from 1 species